UGGCUUCUAUGACCUCUAGAUCCUUCUUCCCUUUAUCUUGUUGUUCAGCAUAGGUUCUCCACUCAACAACUUCACGAGCCCUUUGCUUAGCAGAAAAAUAAAAGAACUAGUUCUCUGCAUCAAACCAGAUUUUUUGGAAAGAGCUGCUUCUGUUUUAUUGGACUUGUGGGGAAGACUAUCAAGAAAAUGCCAAUCCACCUCUCUUAAAGCAAUACAUGAUAUCUUAAAGUUGCAAAUUUUAGCGAGGAUUGCAUUCGCUCAACACUGGAAAAGUGAAGAACUACCC